UGCGUAGGCGGAUAAAUAAGUCAGUGGUGAAAUCCUGCGGCUCAACCGUAGAACUGCCAUUGAUACUGUUAUUCUUGAAUUUAGUUGAGGUAGGCGGAAUGUGUAAUGUAGCGGUGAAAUGCUUAGAUAUUACACAGAACACCGAUUGCGAAGGCAGCUUGCUAAACUAAUAUUGACGCUGAUGCACGAAAGCGUGGGGAGCGAACAGGAUUAGAUACCCUGGUAGUCC
rnacentral:rRNA from 1 species